UUGGGCUUGGGUGUCACGGGGGCCUGGAGAAACCAUUACGUUGCAUGGAUGCUCGGAGACACUUGUCACCCCUGGAAUGCCUGCUGUGAACAAGAGCUGGGGCUGAACCAAGCUAAGAUUAUUGACAAUCCCUAUCAUGUUGCCAACGUCACCAAUGGCAGGACUGAAGAUGGAUCCAUUGGAAACUAAAGGCUUUUCCUCAGCCAACACCUCAUGAACUAGACUGGAAAAUAGCACAGGUGAUCAAGACUGAUACCGCACAAUCUUCCUCCUGGUUAACAAGCUAAGACCAAUCCAGAUGGGGAGGGUUGGCCCUCCAACACCACUACCAAUGCUGUCAGCUGGGAUCAGUGGACUGCAGCAAUAUCUUACUGAAGACAAAGAUGAGGGAAUCUACAAUGUUGAUGCAAGAUUGCCCUGUGAUGUCCAGGCGUCUUUGACUACAAUGCUUUGGUUCACCAGUAGGUCCUCGGAUGGUAAAGUUUGGACACAACAUCCUGAGCAUGAAGAAUAUUCUGAAAGACAGCACAAACAAUAUUUGGACAUUCAAUUUUUCAGCUGAGAAGGACCUUUUUUCAAGUUAGGACUAAAGCCCCUGGGCCUGCUUUAGGCCUAUAACUGUAGUUUGUGCUCUGUAGUAUGUGAUUUGAAAAUUGUACAAUGGAACAAGUGUCAUUUUGUUUGCCACAGUAACUUAAGGCAGUGUUAGUGACCCAUUUGUUUUCAGUUUACAAAGCCAUCAUGAUCAACUGCAUUGAUCCCUCAAAAGAUUGUUGGAGUGACUCCAUUAAAUGUAACAAAAAUAUCCAACACCUGGUACUCUAGUUACUGUAGGUUAGCUACUGAAGUGACCUUUUUGUUUUCACUUUUAAAAACCUAUGCGAUUUGCCGCACUGAAGGUCCCUCCUGAGAUUGUUGGACUGGGUCCAUUAAAUGUGACAAAAAUAUCCAACACCUAUUUACAAAUGAAGUGAGGGGGUCAGCCUUUUGGUGUAACUCCAUAUAACUGUCUGGUGAUUUCGCUCUGGGCUUGUGACAUUCUGAUCGGUCUGAAAUAAUCAUUGUCGCCCAUCCCUCAAUUUGAGGCCUGUGUCCCGAUGGUGGCGUUGAAUGGCAAAAUCAAAGGGGCAUGACGGCGGUUAUACCUAUUGCGAAUGGGCAGCAUCACAACCAGUUCUGAGAUCUGGGGGUGGUGUAGGAUAUCUGGUUACCACGCACACAUCUCUUGUAUCUGCGGUGGGUUGGUACCCCACGCUACGUAAGGGGAGGUUCUGGGUAAGACUUGGUCCACGUGAAUAGGUUGUACCUGAAAGAUGAGAAGUUGCGAAUGGACGCCUUCGAAUAUGUCCUUCGACCAGCUAGUGCUAACCCGGUCACUGUCUCCAGGUCACCACACCUUGGUCAAUGAGCGGGCGAAGAACCCAAUGGCUCCGUCAGGAGUACAUCGUCAACUUCAGCCCGUAGUCAAACCGGUCCACGUACAAAUAUCUUGGCUGAGAGUGGGGGACGUACUUGCUUCUCAUCGGGGUAAUACAGUACCACUGUAUACAAUGACCCCAUUUUAGUUGGAUUUUACUGAGGAGUGGACGAUAAUGAGAAUUUCAGGCCAGUCCGAUUGUCACCAGUUCAGAGGGCGAUUACCUGAUAGUUAUGUGGCAUUCCGUCAAACGGUGAACUCUUUCACAUCCUUUGUAAAUUAGUGUUGCUUGUUACAUGUCACAUUCAAUGGCUCAUUUGAGGAUAGUUUCUGUGAUUCUACUUUACCCUGAGCAGGCCCAUUAAAACCUAAACUGUGUAGUUUGUGCUCUGUAGUAUGUGAUCUAAAAAGUUGUAAAUCUGGUUAUUGGAGUAAAGAUUGUAGAAUGGAAUAUCCGCGGGAUGCCCUAAUCUGAGAGCCAAGAGCCAAGACGCUGUUAAAGAGCCAAUUAAGUGCUGCCAGGAAAGCCCCGAGCCAAAGAAAAAGUUUAGGCUAUGAAACUUUGGGAAUCCUAAGCCAACAGGUCCCCCUUCUUGAUAAAAAAUAAAUAUAUUAUGUAACCAUUUAUGACGUUGUAAGACAUCGCCAGUCUGAUUGUCACCAGUACCUGAUAGUUAUGUGGCGUUCCUGUCAAACUUUUAACUCUUUCACGUCCAUUGUAAAGUAGUGUUGCUUGUUACAUGUUACAUUCAAUGGCUCAUUUGAGGAUAGUUUCUGUGAUUCUAAUCCACCAUGAGCACCAUGUGCUGCAUUUCUACAAGUUCUAGCAUUGUCGGGGGCAUAGCUAGCGGAAGAGGGCAAAUGCCCGCCCCCCCUCCAGCCGCAUAUCAAUUCCGUCUGCGUAAUUUCAUCCUUCACGCCAUGAAGAAUUAACCAGUAGUCCCAUUGACUGCUUCAUUCGCAAUGUCGACAGCAUCUUCCCUAAC